UACGUAGGGUGCGAGCGUUUGUCCGGAAUUAUUGGGCGUAAAGAGCUCGUAGGCGGUCUGUCGCGUCGGUCGUGAAAACUUGGGGCUUAACCCUGAGCUUGCGGUCGAUACGGGCAUGACUGGAGUUCGGCAGGGGAGACUGGAAUUCCUGGUGUAGCGGUGAAAUGCGCAGAUAUCAGGAGGAACACCGGUGGCGAAGGCGGGGUCUCUGGGCCGAUACUGACGCUGAGGAGCGAAAGCGUGGGGAGCAAACAGG
rnacentral:rRNA from 1 species